GACGAACGCUGGCGGCGUGCUUAACACAUGCAAGUCGAACGGAAAGGCCCUGCUUUUGUGGGGUGCUCGAGUGGCGAACGGGUGAGUAACACGUGAGUAACCUGCCCUUGACUUUGGGAUAACUUCAGGAAACUGGGGCUAAUACCGGAUAGGAGCUCCUGCUGCAUGGUGGGGGUUGGAAAGUUUCGGCGGUUGGGGAUGGACUCGCGGCUUAUCAGCUUGUUGGUGGGGUAGUGGCUUACCAAGGCUUUGACGGGUAGCCGGCCUGAGAGGGUGACCGGCCACAUUGGGACUGAGAUACGGCCCAGACUCCUACGGGAGGCAGCAGUGGGGAAUAUUGCACAAUGGGCGGAAGCCUGAUGCAGCAACGCCGCGUGCGGGAUGACGGCCUUCGGGUUGUAAACCGCUUUCGCCUGUGACGAAGCGUGAGUGACGGUAAUGGGUAAAGAAGCACCGGCUAACUACGUGCCAGCAGCCGCGGUGAUACGUAGGGUGCGAGCGUUGUCCGGAUUUAUUGGGCGUAAAGGGCUCGUAGGUGGUUGAUCGCGUCGGAAGUGUAAUCUUGGGGCUUAACCCUGAGCGUGCUUUCGAUACGGGUUGACUUGAGGAAGGUAGGGGAGAAUGGAAUUCCUGGUGGAGCGGUGGAAUGCGCAGAUAUCAGGAGGAACACCAGUGGCGAAGGCGGUUCUCUGGGCCUUUCCUGACGCUGAGGAGCGAAAGCGUGGGGAGCGAACAGGCUUAGAUACCCUGGUAGUCCACGCUGUAAACGGUGGGUACUAGGUGUGGGGUCCAUUCCACGGGUUCCGUGCCGUAGCUAACGCUUUAAGUACCCCGCCUGGGGAGUACGGCCGCAAGGCUAAAACUCAAAGGAAUUGACGGGGCCCCGCACAAGCGGCGGAGCAUGCGGAUUAAUUCGAUGCAACGCGUAGAACCUUACCUGGGUUUGACAUGGAUCGGGAGCGCUCAGAGAUGGGUGUGCCUCUUUUGGGGUCGGUUCACAGGUGGUGCAUGGCUGUUGUCAGCUCGUGUCGUGAGAUGUUGGGUUAAGUCCCGCAACGAGCGCAACCCUUGUUCACUGUUGCCAGCACGUUAUGGUGGGGACUCAGUGGAGACCGCCGGGGUCAACUCGGAGGAAGGUGGGGAUGACGUCAAGUCAUCAUGCCCCUUAUGUCCAGGGCUUCACGCAUGCUACAAUGGCUGGUACAGAGAGUGGCGAGCCUGUGAGGGUGAGCGAAUCUCGGAAAGCCGGUCUCAGUUCGGAUUGGGGUCUGCAACUCGACCUCAUGAAGUCGGAGUCGCUAGUAAUCGCAGAUCAGCAACGCUGCGGUGAAUACGUUCCCGGGGCU
rnacentral:rRNA from 1 species